UCAGUAUAGGAGGUCAGCCUGCCCAGUGACCACAAGUUCAACGGCCGCGGUAUUUUGACCGUGCAAAGGUAGCGCAAUCACUUGUCUUUUAAAUAAAGACCUGUAUGAACGGCUAAACGAGGGCUUGACUGUCUCCCUUUUCAAGUCAGUGAAAUUGAUCUAUCCGUGCAGAAGCGGGUAUAACAAUACAAGACGAGAAGACCCUUUGGAGCUUAAGGUACAAAACUCAACCACGUCAAGCAACUUAACAAAAAGUAAAAACUUUGUGAAGCAUGAGAUUUUACCUUCGGUUGGGGCGACCACGGAGGAAAAUAAAGCCUCCAAGUGGACCGGGACAAACUCCUAAAACCAAGAGAAACAUCUCUAAGCCACAGAACAUCUGACCAAACAUGAUCCGGCCACCAGGACCGAUCAACGAACCAAGUUACCCUAGGGAUAACAGCGCAAUCCUCUCCCAGAGUCCAUAUCGACGAGAGGGUUUACGACCUCGAUGUUGGAUCAGGACAUCCUAAUGGUGCAGCCGCUAUUAAGGGUUCGUUUGUUCAACGAUUAAAGUCCUACGUGAUCUGAUUCCAGACCGG
rnacentral:rRNA from 2 species